AGAUGGAGGUGAGAAUCCUCCAGGCCGAAUAUCUAAGGUUUCCAGGGUAAAGCUGAUCUGCCCUGGGUAAGUCGGGGCCUAAGGCGAGGCGGAGACGCGUAGUCGAUGGACAACUGGUGUAGAUUCCAGUACCUUACUAAAUCAGAAAUGUGGGGACACAUGGAGAAAGAGAGAGCCGGGAAUGAGAAGACCGGUGCAAGGGAGGUAGGAGUGUAGUAGGAAAAACCGCUAUACAAUCUGAAGACNNNNNNNNNNGAAAUAAAGUAGAGAAGCUCUUUAACUCUGUGGCGAGAAAAGCCGCUAUAGUGUUUAGUAAGCCCGUACCGCAAACCGACACAGGUAGAUGAGGAGAGAAUCCUAAGGCCGGCGGGAGAAGCAUUGUUAAGGAACUCGGCAAAAUGACCCCGUAACUUCGGGAGAAGGGGUGCCCAGGCAACUGGGCCGCAGAGAAAAGGCUCAAGCAACUGUUUAGCAAAAACACAGGUCUAUGCGAAACCGUAAGGUAAAGUAUAUGGGCUGACGCCUGCCCGGUGCUGGAA
rnacentral:rRNA from 1 species